rnacentral:RNase_P_RNA from 2 species
CGGGGCAGGCGAGGCGGCCGCCCGUGCCGCAUGACGCGGCACAGGGAGGAAAGUCCGGGCUCCCGAGGGCAGGGUGGUUCCUAACGGGAACCCCCGGUCUCCGGCAACGGUGACCGGGCGGGAAAGUGCCACAGAAACCAGACCGCCCUUGGCGCACUCGUGCGUCAGGAGCAAGGGUGAAACGGCGAGGUAAGAGCUCACCGCUUCCCGAGUGAUCGGGAGGGCAUGGAAAACCCCACCCGGAGAAAGACCAAAUAGACCCCGAUCGUCCCGAAAGGGGCGUCCGGCUUGCCCGGCCGGUUGAGGGGUGGGUAGGUCGUUGGAUCCCGAUCGCGAGGUCGGGACCAGAUAGAUGGCCGCCGCCCUACAGAACCCGGCUUACUGCCUGUCCCGCGCU